rnacentral:rRNA from 1 species
UACAGAGGGGGCAAGCGUUGUUCGGAAUUACUGGGCGUAAAGGGCGCGUAGGCGGCCUUCUAAGUCGAACGUGAAAUCCCUGGGCUCAACCCAGGAACUGCGUCCGAUACUGGAAGGCUUGAAUCCGGGAGAGGGAUGCGGAAUUCCAGGUGUAGCGGUGAAAUGCGUAGAUAUCUGGAGGAACAUCGGUGGCGAAGGCGGCAUCCUGGACCGGUAUUGACGCUGAGGCGCGAAAGCCAGGGGAGCAAACGGG